GGUGAGUAAGCUGGUGGUGAGUGGUGGGCGGGACGCUGCAGCCCAGGCCAGUGUGUGCCGGUGACUCAAGGCGUGAACACUAGCGUGACCGAGUCCACACCAUGAAGGGCUCAGACGAGAGGAACUGGAGGCUGCUGGCCCUGCUCUACCGCCACGGCGGGGACCCCAACGUGCUGAAGAACGUGGUGCCGGAGUGGGGCCCGGAGAGGCUGGAGCACUUCCUGAGGUGCCAGCGACUCACCUCUCAAAGGAGAACAUGCCGAAGUGUCUACCCCAAAAUGACGCCAUGGAGGGGCCUGGGCUCAAAAAACAGUGUCGGUAUUCUGAGCCAGGUGGAGCAAAACAGGGGCGCCACAGUGAACGAGACCCCGAGGGCCAUGCAGUUCCUCUCACAAUGGCAGGCACACAUCCACAAUGUCCAGAGGGUCCAGGGCACCACCAUAAAGAAGAAGAAGAAGGGACGCUACUCGAAGGACUUCUGCCCGGCGGAUCACGGGCCCCUCCUGAGCAAGGCGAUGCUCAUCAUUUCCCAAGAGGAGGAACACCCCAAGCCUUCCUCCAGCUCCGAGCCUGACUACAGCGAAAUAUAUAGAUACCUCUCUCAGCUGUUGGCGGGACAGGAGCCAACCCAGCUGAGCCAGGGCAGCGCUGCAAAGGUUUUGGAGGUGAUGGAGAAGGUGCAGCUGCUGGCAAGCCACAGCCUGGACCUGAAAAAACUGUACCACCACUUGAGCCAAAACAUGGCCUCGUACCUCCAGCCCUGGAGUAAGAAGGGAGCAGACUCCUCUCCCAGCACCUUACCACAAGGGGAGAGUUCCAGCACCUUGCCACAGGGGGAGAGUUCCAGCUCCUUACCACAGGGGAAGAGUUCCAGCACAUUACCACCGGGGGAGAGUUCCAACACCUCACCACAGGGGGAGAGUUCCAGCACCUUACUACAGGGGGAGAGUUCCAGCACCUUACCACAGGGGGAAAGUUCCAGCACCUCACCACAGGGGGAAAGUUCCAGUGCCUCAUCACAGGGGGAGAGUUCCAGCGCUGAGAUGGAUGAGUGCCCACUGUUUCUCGAGGUGGAGGACCAGUUGAGGACCAGCACCAAGGACCUGGCGGGCUACGACCCUCACUGUGAGAAGGUGAAAGAGAGACUCACAGAGAAGUGCCAGAAGAAGCAGGAAGCAAGGAGCCUCCGCAUCUCAGAGCUGCCUGGCCUCAACCCCUUCAUGCUGCCACCUCGCCUGCUGCACAAACCCGUGGGCGAUGCCGUGAGUGCCCUGCUGGAGCGUUAGUGUGCUGCCGCUGCCUACGCCCCUUGUCGCCGCACCUGCCAAGGCCACAGACCGUUAGUCGGCUCGUGAUGCAAGACAUCCACAGCCCACCACCUCACUUCCUCCCUCACCUCCACAUGCGAUGCCUGCCACUCCCAUGGCUGUCCUCACCUCCAAGGCUAGAUUUGGCAGUGCUGCAGCCAGGGGACUGCCCGAGUGGCCCCACCCAAGUGGACUUCAUAGCUAAGUCUGACUAUAGCUACAAAUCUGCAGGCCAGUGUUGGAACCCGGCCCGGGCAGUCAGCGUGCAUCCCAGCCAGCUGUUGGUCCUCCCUUUGGGGCUGGGGGAUAAAUGUGUACCUUAGUUUGUGAGUGUUUUGAUUUACAAGCAAAAAAAUCCCACAAAAAAUGCCUUGGUUUAUGAGUGGUGACUUGGUAUUCAACCCUAUUUGUUCCCUUUUUUAUCGCCACUUCCCAGGUAGGGACACAGGCUAUAUGGAGGCCGUCAUUGUCAAGCGCAUACCGUCAUUCGAGGAGGGACCACAAACCCUUGCCAGGUGACGGCUCAUGAAGGGGAGGGGAGGAUGCCAAUGGACCAACUCUAUCGGCUGACGUCAGCCUUGCCAACCAAGUCGGUCUUUCAACGAGGACUGGCGAGUCUCUUUGUACAAGUCGAAGACGUGAGCGUGAGUCCUCUUUGUUCACUGCAAGACAAGAGUGUUCAAAGCAGAAAACAAUGGGAAUAGUCUCAGUUAGAGCUGCCACCUUGAUCUAAAACAAAUAAGGAACGCAACAUCCCAUUCGGCAGUACAGAACGAAUCCAUAUUCAAAGGAACGUGUGGCAACCCUAAAAUUUCUCUGGCCUGCCAUGACUGACAGCCGCUGCCCGCUGCUGGUGAAGGUUAGAGGAAGGGGGGAGAGACAUUACGACACGUAUUUUAUAUGUAUUUCAGGACGACCCUUGACAAACAUAAUUUUAUGGACUGGCUUUGUGGUUCACCGAAAAAUGCGCUCUACAUUUUUUAAAUACUGAAUUUUAUCUGUUUAACCAUUCAGACAGCCAAAUACGGAACAAAUAGCGUUCCAUAUUUUAAGGAAAGGGUGGCAAGUUUGCAACCCUGAGGCGUCAUCUGCCUUCUUGAGCGACCACCUGUUCUGGAGACUGUUUUGCACCUCCCUCCUGUGAUCCACCAAAGUGCUUUAUCUUGUCCACAUGACUGGACGAACCAACACCACUUCUCAUUCUGUCACUCGUCAAGGACAACACGCGUUAAUUUAUUCACAGUUUCGGGAUUUACAGUUCAUUAGGAGUAUUUCAGCAGCUGCUUAGAGUCAUUGCAUGCGACGGAGUUUCUUAAAACGUCCUUUUUAUCCACAAAAUAUUGACAAACGGCAUCGCUUCACUUUCUUGUUUCUAACGAUGACGAUGAUGUUUUAUACUGGUAAGUUCUUUCUUAUCCACCAGUGAUGCUUUAAAAUGGUCUGUGGUGCAGCAAUAACACAACAGUAACCUCGUGAACUCUACGAGUAUGCCCACUCCCACCUGGCAGGGUUACCCAUAGGAAGCUCAGGAAAUGGUUAUCACCAUAGGCCUAUGAAGGUGUGGCCAGCAAGACAGUGGCCGUACCCAGCCCGGCCGCGGCUUGCGCAGGACUCCUGAUUCUUGUCAAAAAUUGGGGGAAUUCUUUAAAAUCUGACACACCAAAACAAGAAAUGCAAGAAUUUCACAAGAUUUGGGGUUAGUUCUUGCUUGGUCUAGGGUAAUUCUUGACCACCAGAUGACGGCUCUAGUCUCAGUCCGCGUUGUAAACUCGUAGAAAUAGCAUCCGUGCACUCGUGUCAUGUUUUCAGCACUUCAGUGUGAGUUCUUUGUGGUUUAACAAUGUCCCCCAGAAAGAUGGUUAAAAGGGAUGGUGCUGCAAAGAAGAAAACAGGAACGGAGGAUACUAUGCUCACAACAGGAACAGGGG